GACGAACGCUGGCGGCGUGCUAAUACAUGCAAGUCGAGCGGACAGAUGGGAGCUUGCUCCUGAUGUUAGCGGCGGACGGGUGAGUAACACGUGGGUAACCUGCCUGUAAGACUGGGAUAACUCCGGGAAACCGGGGCUAAUACCGGAUGGUUGUUUGAACCGCAUGGUUCAAACAUAAAAGGUGGCUUCGGCUACCACUUACAGAUGGACCCGCGGCGCAUUAGCUAGUUGGUGAGGUAACGGCUCACCAAGGCAACGAUGCGUAGCCGACCUGAGAGGGUGAUCGGCCACACUGGGACUGAGACACGGCCCAGACUCCUACGGGAGGCAGCAGUAGGGAAUCUUCCGCAAUGGACGAAAGUCUGACGGAGCAACGCCGCGUGAGUGAUGAAGGUUUUCGGAUCGUAAAGCUCUGUUGUUAGGGAAGAACAAGUACCGUUCGAAUAGGGCGGUACCUUGACGGUACCUAACCAGAAAGCCACGGCUAACUACGUGCCAGCAGCCGCGGUAAUACGUAGGUGGCAAGCGUUGUCCGGAAUUAUUGGGCGUAAAGGGCUCGCAGGCGGUUUCUUAAGUCUGAUGUGAAAGCCCCCGGCUCAACCGGGGAGGGUCAUUGGAAACUGGGGAACUUGAGUGCAGAAGAGGAGAGUGGAAUUCCACGUGUAGCGGUGAAAUGCGUAGAGAUGUGGAGGAACACCAGUGGCGAAGGCGACUCUCUGGUCUGUAACUGACGCUGA
rnacentral:rRNA from 1 species